rnacentral:rRNA from 1 species
CGCCUGCCCAGUGAACAAUUAAACGGCCGCGGUACCCUAACCGUGCAAAGGUAGCGUAAUCAUUUGUCUAUUAAUUGUAGACCAGUAUGAAAGGCAUAAUGAGGGUUUAACUGUCUCUUUUAGUAAAUCAAUUAAACUGAUCUCCUAGUCCAAAAGCUAGGGUGCCAACAUAAGACCAGAAGACCCUGUGAAACUUUAACUAAAAUAUUAAAGCCUAUAAUAACUACUUUAGGUUGGGGCGACCUCGGAAAAUAAAAGAACUUCCACACACAUAUUAUAUAAUAAUAUAUAGCCGGCCAACAAGCCUACAACGACCCAGCACAGCUGAUAAUUGAACCAAGCUACUCCAGGGAUAACAGCGCUAUCUUCUUCAAGAGCCCAUAUCAAAAAGAAGGUUUACGACCUCGAUGUUGGAUCAGGACAUCCUAAUGGUGUAACCGCUAUUAAGGGUUCGUUUGUUCAACGAUUAACAGUCCUACGUGAUCUG